AGAACGAAGGCUAAUAGAAUUUUUUCUGAUUGUGGAUUCGAGUUCAGCAACCCAAAAACCUUCAGAAAAGUAUAUUUUGGUCCUUGUGGCAAAAAAAAGUUCAAUUUGGUUGCCCAGUGUUGUUUCUGAUUCAAAGACCGCUAUUUUAAUUUUAAAUAUCUCGGGUAAUAAAAGAGAUAUCGGAAAGAUCUAAACAUUUUUUGAAAGAAUAAAACCAGUUCUUAUAAUCACCGUUACAAAUUUAUUCACAAUGAAUUACCCUACAUCAAAAAACAUAACAUCGAAAACAGCUAAAAUGACGUUUUUUGACAUUUUCUAACGAAAAUGCAGUACUUCGGACCUUAUUCAUUUAUCAUCAUAUAAUUAAACGGCGAGCAUAGUUUUUGUGGUACAAAUUACCGGGCUCCCAAAAACCGAAGGGGCAUAAAUUAUACACGGAACGAAAGAGAAUGACGCGUAGAUGUGCAGAAUCACAUUUUUUUUACUUUUUAUUAACCGAAAUAACGAAAUUAAACAAAUUAAAAUUCGAUAAAAAAUAAAAAAAAAAAAACAAAACAAAAACAACUGGAAUUCCAUUGGAAAAUUUCCAAUCGACUGGAAUGAAAUGUCAUUCAUGACUGAAUGAAUGAAUGAAAGCAUUCAGUGAAAAUCAAAAAACAUUAUGGUGGGUUCACAUUGGUGCGUUGUUUUAAGAUCGCACGUAAACUAUGGUUAACUUUCAUUGUUUUAGUUAUCUAAGUUUAGAAAGUAAGAUGUUUGUUUUAUUACCAUGGAUUUUUUUGUUAAAAUCGAAUUCUAUUAAAAUCAAGUCUAUUACUAA